ACGAACGCUGGCGGCGUGCCUAAUACAUGCAAGUCGAACGCUUCUUUCCUCCCGAGUGCUUGCACUCAAUUGGAAAGAGGAGUGGCGGACGGGUGAGUAACACGUGUGUAACCUACCCAUCAGAGGGGGAUAACACUUGGAAACAGGUGCUAAUACCGCAUAACAGUUUAUGCCGCAUGGCAUAAGAGUGAAAGGCGCUUUCGGGUGUCGUUGAUGGAUGGACCCGCGGUGCAUUAGCUAGUUGGUGAGGUAACGGCUCACCAAGGCCACGAUGCAUAGCCGACCUGAGAGGGUGAUCGGCCACACUGGGACUGAGACACGGCCCAGACUCCUACGGGAGGCAGCAGUAGGGAAUCUUCGGCAAUGGACGAAAGUCUGACCGAGCAACGCCGCGUGAGUGAAGAAGGUUUUCGGAUCGUAAAACUCUGUUGUUAGAGAAGAACAAGGACGUUAGUAACUGAACGUCCCCUGACGGUAUCUAACCAGAAAGCCACGGCUAACUACGUG
rnacentral:rRNA from 1 species